GAACGCUAGCUACAGGCUUAACACAUGCAAGUCGAGGGGCAGCAUGGUCUUAGCUUGCUAAGGCCGAUGGCGACCGGCGCACGGGUGAGUAACACGUAUCCAACCUGCCGUCUACUCUUGGACAGCCUUCUGAAAGGAAGAUUAAUACAAGAUGGCAUCAUGAGUCCGCAUGUUCACAUGAUUAAAGGUAUUCCGGUAGACGAUGGGGAUGCGUUCCAUUAGAUAGUAGGCGGGGUAACGGCCCACCUAGUCUUCGAUGGAUAGGGGUUCUGAGAGGAAGGUCCCCCACAUUGGAACUGAGACACGGUCCAAACUCCUACGGGAGGCAGCAGUGAGGAAUAUUGGUCAAUGGGCGAGAGCCUGAACCAGCCAAGUAGCGUGAAGGAUGACUGCCCUAUGGGUUGUAAACUUCUUUUAUAAAGGAAUAAAGUCGGGUAUGGAUACCCGUUUGCAUGUACUUUAUGAAUAAGGAUCGGCUAACUCCGUGCCAGCAGCCGCGGUAAUACGGAGGAUCCGAGCGUUAUCCGGAUUUAUUGGGUUUAAAGGGAGCGUAGAUGGAUGUUUAAGUCAGUUGUGAAAGUUUGCGGCUCAACCGUAAAAUUGCAGUUGAUACUGGAUAUCUUGAGUGCAGUUGAGGCAGGCGGAAUUCGUGGUGUAGCGGUGAAAUGCUUAGAUAUCACGAAGAACUCCGAUUGCGAAGGCAGCCUGCUAAGCUGCAACUGACAUUGAGGCUCGAAAGUGUGGGUAUCAAACAGGAUUAGAUACCCUGGUAGUCCACACGGUAAACGAUGAAUACUCGCUGUUUGCGAUAUACGGCAAGCGGCCAAGCGAAAGCGUUAAGUAUUCCACCUGGGGAGUACGCCGGCAACGGUGAAACUCAAAGGAAUUGACGGGGGCCCGCACAAGCGGAGGAACAUGUGGUUUAAUUCGAUGAUACGCGAGGAACCUUACCCGGGCUUAAAUUGCAGAUGAAUUACGGUGAAAGCCGUAAGCCGCAAGGCAUCUGUGAAGGUGCUGCAUGGUUGUCGUCAGCUCGUGCCGUGAGGUGUCGGCUUAAGUGCCAUAACGAGCGCAACCCUUGUUGUCAGUUACUAACAGGUUCCGCUGAGGACUCUGACAAGACUGCCAUCGUAAGAUGUGAGGAAGGUGGGGAUGACGUCAAAUCAGCACGGCCCUUACGUCCGGGGCUACACACGUGUUACAAUGGGGGGUACAGAGGGCCGCUACCACGCGAGUGGAUGCCAAUCCCAAAAACCUCUCUCAGUUCGGACUGGAGUCUGCAACCCGACUCCACGAAGCUGGAUUCGCUAGUAAUCGCGCAUCAGCCACGGCGCGGUGAAUACGUUCCCGGGCCUUGUACACACCGCCCGUCAAGCCGUGGGAGCCGGGGGUACCUGAAGUGCGUAACCGCGAGGAGCGCCCUAGGGUAAAACUGGUGACUGGGGCUAAG
rnacentral:rRNA from 1 species